GCCAUACAUCAAGAGUCGGGCCGACGCCUGACACCAACCUGCUCCCGAGCAAGGUGGUACCCCGUCAACGACGGGGGAUGUGGCCGGACCGGCAAAAAACGGGACCAUC
rnacentral:ncRNA from 1 species